rnacentral:rRNA from 1 species
GACGAACGCUGGCGGCGUGCUUAACACAUGCAAGUCGAACGGAAAGGCCCUGCUUUUGUGGGUUGCUCGAGUGGCGAACGGGUGAGUAACACGUGAGUAACCUGCCCUUGACUUUGGGAUAACUUCAGGAAACUGGGGCUAAUACCGGAUAGGAGCUCCUGCUGCAUGGUGGGGGUUGGAAAGCUUCGGCGUUUGGGGAUGGACUCGCGGCUUAUCAGCUUGUUGGUGGGGUAGUGGCUUACCAAGGCUUUGACGGGUAGCCGGCCUGAGAGGGUGACCGGCCACAUUGGGACUGAGAUACGGCCCAGACUCCUACGGGAGGCAGCAGUGGGGAAUAUUGCACAAUGGGCGGAAGCCUGAUGCAGCAACGCCGCGUGCGGGAUGACGGCCUUCGGGUUGUAAACCGCUUUCGCCUGUGACGAAGCGUGAGUGACGGUAAUGGGUAAAGAAGCACCGGCUAACUACGUG